rnacentral:rRNA from 1 species
UACGAAGGGGGCGAGCGUUGUUCGGAUUUACUGGGCGUAAAGGGCGCGCAGGCGGUCUUGAAAGUCAGGCGUGAAAGCCCCGGGCUUAACCUGGGAAUUGCGCUUGAUACUCUGAGACUGGAGUACGGGAGAGGAGAGUGGAAUUCCCAGUGUAGAGGUGAAAUUCGUAGAUAUCAGGUGGAACACCAGUGGCGAAGGCGGCUUUCUGGACGGUAACUGACGCUGAGACGCGAAAGCGUGGGGAGCAAACAGG